rnacentral:rRNA from 1 species
GAUGAACGCUAGCUACAGGCUUAACACAUGCAAGUCGAGCGACCGGCGCACGGGUGAGUAACACGUAUCCAACCUGCCCUUAACUCGGGGAUAGCCUUUCGAAAGAAAGAUUAAUACCUGAUAUAAAGAAUGGGGAUGAGUUCUAUUAGGUUGUUGGUAAGUUACCGGCUCACCAAGCCUUCGCUGGAUAGGGGUUCUGAGGGGAAGGUCACCCACAAUUGAACUGAGACCCGGUCCAAACUCCGACGUGAGGCAGCAGUGAGGAAUAUUGUGCAAGGGGCGCUGGCCUGAACCAGCCAAGUAGCGUGAAGGAUGAAGGCUUAGGGGUCGUCAACUUCUUUUAUAUAAGAAUAUGUAUUAUAUGAAUAAGGAUCGGCUAACUCCGUGCCAGCAGCCGCGGUAAUUC